CCCUUAGAUGUUCUGGGCCGCACGCGCGCUACACUGAUGCAUUCAACGAGUCUAAAACCUGGUCUGAUAGGGCUGGGUAAUCUUUUGAAUGUGCAUCGUGAUUGGGAUAGAUGAUUGCAAUUCUUCAUCUUCAACGAGGAAUGCCUAGUAAACGCAAGUCAUCAGCUUGCAUUGAUUACGUCCCUGCCCUUUGUACACACCGCCCGUCGCUCCUACCGAUUGAAUGAUCCGAUGAAUACCAUGGAUUGAGAGUACGAAUAGGUUCGCUUAUUUCUGCUGCUCGAGAAGUGGAGUAAAUCUUAUCAUUUAGAGGAAGGAGAAGUCGUAACA
rnacentral:rRNA from 1 species